AAACUUGAUUUUCCUUAAGGCCAUUAAGCUAGUGAAACAAGGGCUAGGACCCGGGGUUCUGACUCCCAGUCCAGCCCCCAUUCUCAGAGGUAAUUUACUGGUGGCCUAUAGACCUCUCAUCCUCGCUAUGAAUUCUCCCGACCUGGGCACUGUCUGCUACUUUCCUCUGGCUGAGGAAUCUGUAAAUGUGGUAAACAAGACCUAAAGCUGAAACCUACUGCUGAGAUGAAGGUGGGUAGAACGCACUGACUUGGGGGCACUUUGUUCUUUUUCAACCUACCUAGUAAUGGAGCCUCCUUACGCCCCCUGCCCCAGCAAAUGGUGUGAGCGGGCCAGAGCGUUUCCCCUGUAGCAUGGGCCUGAAUCCUAGCUGCACUGUCACAAGUGCUAGACCUCACAGAAGAGGAUCAUUUGUCUUUCAGCAGGCCUUGUCAACGAGGCCUACAGAUCCCUUUAGGUGAGGCAAGGACUGCUUCCCCCAUUGAGCCAGGGGAUCUUUUGUCUUCUUUAAUGGAGAGCCAGCUUCUUUUCUGUUCCUUCACAGAUUUGGUCCUUGUGGCUUAGGUGUCCUCACUGACCAGCUGUGACUCAGCCUCGGAAAUGUCAGUGGACCCCAAAGGUGGGGUUGGUAUCCUCGGCUUGGUGACUAUAGGAAAUAGUUCAAUAAUAGAAAUCUGUACCAAAAAGUGUCACCCCUAAGUGUGGGGAUGAGUAUUCUUCGUAGGGAACCCCUAUGUCCAGGAAGGCUCCAACCGAUCUGGCCCCUGCCCUGACAUCUUCCAGCAAGGUCUCCAUGGGCAAAAGAGCAGAACUGGGGCCAGUUUGCAGCUAAAGCCCCAGCUGCAGAAGAAAAACAGGGUUCAGCUCCCCAGAUUAGUUACUGUCUGCAAGGAUUAAAGGCCCCAAAUAAUGGCUGGCUUCUCCCCUCCUCUGUGCCAAGGGAAGACAUGUAAACACAGCAGCACGCCAGCUUAGGCAGUCGAUGUGUAUAAAUCGAAUUUAGCAAAUCAGAUCAUGGUUUAAAUGCACUAUUUAAAGCAGUCCUGCAGUGAAGCCUUUUACAAAGGGAAUAAUCAUUUUGUGAUGCUAAUCAUCAGCCUCCAAUUUAUCUCCUUUGUAAGUUCAGAUGUUGGUGCACUGGGUGUUCUGAAAUUGGGGCGCUCUUGUGUAGGGCUCCAGUGACGGCUGUCUGCCUUCCUUUUCUGACCUCUCAUUUUAAAUGGGUGCAUGUCCUGUUUCUCGCUGGGGGCCUCAGGAUGCUUGUCACUUAGCCUGAUAGUUCUCAUCCAUCCCACUCAUCUUUUCAUAAUCUGAUAGAGGCCACCAUUCAGCUGCUCCUGGCUCCUUUUCUGAGAUUUUCGCUCUUCCUGGGGAAGAUGCAAGCCCCGCUGUUCCCAGGCAUUAGCACUAACUCCCUCUCUGAUCUGAACCUUCUUUUGUUUCCCUGAGCUUCUGGUACUUCUGUUGUUGAUCAUAAAGACGAUUUCAGAGAUGACUACAUGACAGUUAAUCAGCCUCUGAAUUUAGAAGGCAAAUUAAAUGCAGGCACCCCCUUAUUGAAUAGGCAGUGUCCAGAAAUGUUCUUUCCAUUCACGGGGGCGGGGGGAACCCUGAGGCCUGGAUGUUAAAGUGACUUUUUCCCACAAGUUAAAAUCAGAGCUCAAAGAAGAACCUGUCUUCUAAUUGCUAUAAAAGUGUUUUACACACUAAGCUGUAGUUCCUUUCUCUGCAGAGAAAAUAAAAUCAGACCAUCUGGGUGGGAGAGAAAGAAUGAAGGAAAAGAGAUGGAUCUGAGUGGAAUAAAGGAAGUAGGCAGGAAGCUAGGGAGCUGUGAAGAGCCUGACCUUGCUUAGCUCACAAGCCCUGAUAUAGUGUCUUUGUCAAUGCUGCCACUAUUGACGCUUUCGUUGGUAAUUAUGACUGUGUGUUGGCAUGGCGACUCAGAGUAAGAAGACUAGAGGCAGUGGGUAAAUGCACGACUUGUUCUCGCCUUCCAAAGCAGAGAGGAGCUUUUGUGGGGAGUUCUUCCAGGGAGACGUGGUGGAAAAUUCAGCAGACCCUGUGCUGGAGCAUGGGUAUUGACACAUCCUGGGAGCCAGGUGGCCGUGAGCAGGAUGGCACAAACAGAAGGCCUCACCAGCACUUGGGUCUGACACAGAGGUCUCCCAGAGUGUCCGUCCAGUUCCUUUCUGUUGUCUUUGUCUCCCAGCCUUGUGAUGCCAAAUGCCAAGAUCCAUUUCUAGUCCUUUCUGGGUUGCCUCUUUCAAAUAGGUUUAUGCUGCAGUCUCUCUAAACUUGAUUGAUCAUACAGUCAUCUACCUAAUAGUCCACGGUUAUGCAUCUGGAGGCUGAAAGGGAAGGCUGGUGGGCCCAUCUGGAAGGAUGGAGUCUGGGGCUUUGAUUUCUACCACUGUGCCCUCUCCAUAGAUUCUUUGGCCAUACAUAGCCUCGUCUGAAAAUGGGGACCUGCUGCUGGAGUCAAGUACUGUACUAUUCUGUCCAGUGUGAUACCCAAUAGACAUAGGUGGCUAAACUCACAAAUGUGGGCAGUAUGGCACAUUCAAAUAAUAUUGGACUAAAUAAAAUAUAUCAUUAAAGUGGCCAGUUUCUUCUGUCUUUGGGCUGAGGCUUCUAUAACAUUUAAGAUUACAUAGGGAAUUCCCCCUCACAUUUCUGCUGGAAAUGGCUGAUCUAAACCAGAGAAUGGAGCCCGCUUAUAGACCUGACACUUAUAACUGAUUGUUCUGGUCUCACCCAGGAGGUGUCUAAUCACUGAGGUCUAUGCAUAGAGCAAGCAUAGUGGGAAAACUAGAUAGCUCAGGCCUAGAAGAGCCUGUUAGGUGGGGAUUGCCCCUCAGUCCCUGAAGGUGGAAAUUGCGGCCUGAAUCUACAGGCAAUAUUGUGCUUUUCAGCAUUUAGGGUGACAGUAACCCUGGAAGAACCUUUAGGUAAAGAGUCAGCAGUGGGUUUGUGUGGGCAGAGCUGGAGCUGACAGAAUCAUUGUUCCAAAAGUGGAACCCACACCUGGCAGUGGUGACUUCAUACUUUCCCAGAGACACAGAAACCACUAAACAAGGAAAGACAGCUGUGUGUCCUAGGUUUGUGUUAAACUCCCUUUUGGCUAGGUUCCUUUGGAAGAUGGCUGGGGCUGCCCAUCUCCUGGCUGCCCCUCCUCCCCUCAACCUCAGCCGAUGUACAAGCUGGAGCUUCUGGGAUGCUCCUUGGCUCAAAGCCAGCAUUUUCUUGGAGAGGCUCCUGCUUUGGCUCCCUGCCAGGCCUCUGGUCUCCAGAGAGAUUUUUUUUUCCAGGAGAGGUGCUAGGCUCAUCCUGCUGUCAGAGGGUAGAGACCUGCUCAGCCUUUUCCCCUUGGAAGACCCCAGGCUGUGGGCCAGCCUUGCCACCAGCCCUGGCCCCUUUCAGAAUAUUCAGUUUCUUACUGGGAAGCCUGGUUUGGGUUAAGAGUGUUUUAGCUUCCACACUCUGAGAUCAUCUGAAAAGCGUCUCCUCACUGGAGCCUGAGAGAUGGGGAAUGGAGAUCACAAUGAGUCAUGGUGAUGGUGGCACAAGCAUUUACCGGGCACCUGCACUGUGUACCAGGUUCUGGGCUGAUCUCUGAGACCUGGCUCAGAGGAGUAGAUAUAGCCCAGGGUCUACCCUUUUCUUAGCCAAGUGUCGUAUCAAGGGUUGCAUGAGGUAUGUCACAGACGCUGUGGCUCUUGGGAACUGUCUCAGUUCUCAUAAGGUCCUUGUCUCCCAAGGAAUCUGCUGGGUCUUGGGAAGCAGCAUGGGGGUUGUUUGGGCUUUGAGAUGUCUCUGCAGCAUCUCCUGAUUCAGGCAGGCAAUAUGGCUGAGUAACGCAGAUGGGAGAGCUGGGUGCUAGGCCCCCAGGAACCCCAGGAAGGAACUAGAGAGGUGAGAAACAUCUCACCUAGCCCUGACUUCUCUUGAUGUUGUCUGAAGCCAAAGCCUUGUUAUGCUUCAGCUUAUAAAAGUCAUGGUGGUGCUAGGACAGCCAGAGACAAACGGAGAAACCCUAUCUCAAACAAAUAAAAUAAAACAAAAUAAAAUAAACCAGGGUGCCCCAACUCCACCAGCUCCAAUUGCGAGAGACUGGCUGCUCAGAGUGAAUGUGGGUCUUGCUUUCUGUUCCUAAAAGUGGGAUACAGUGCUAUAGGGGAAGGAUAGGGCCUGUGUCCUCUGUCCAACAUUUUGUUUGUUUUGUUUUUUUCUUUUCUAAGACUUGUGCAUUUUGUGGGGCAGGGUGUGGUGUAUGUAUAUAUGCCAUGUGUGUGCAGGUACCUGCAGAGCCCAGAAGAGGGUUUCAGGUCCCCUGGAAAUAGAAUUACAAGUGUUGUAAGCUUGCCCAACAAGAGUCUGCAGAUCUAGAUUUGGGUCUCUGGAGGAGCAAAAAAGCACUCUUAAUCUCUGAGCUGUCUUUCUAGCUCUCACUCUUGUUUUCUUGAGCAAAGAAUGCCAGGCCUCCCUUCUGUCUGCCAGUUUGACAACCUAAAAACCUGCUGGUUAGGAGAGCAGCCAUCAUCUCUGAGAGUGUCAUUUCACUCCCACGUGCUAUGGGAAGGUAAAGAAAGGGAGAAGGUCAUCCUUACGAGCCUGCAACUUCUGGUACCCCCGUUUUACUUAAAUACAUACUAACAUUUAUGUCUGUUUAUGUGUAUAGUGUGUGUGUGUGUGUGUGUGUGUGUGUGUGUCAGAGGACAACAGGAGCUAGUUCUCCCUACUGUGUGAGCCUGCUGAUCAAACUCAGGUUAUCAGGCUUGGCAGCCUCCCUGUGUGACCACGCCAAUUUCUCUAUUCCAUUUCAGCUGCCACUUCUCCCUUCUGUUAGAGCACAGCAGCGAGGCAGAAGCCACAAGGCUUGAUGGGACCCAGGUUCGGGGCCUUUCUGAUCUAGUUCAGAAACCAUGGGCAUCGACUCUUCCUCUGUGUUAGCUACUGUUCUCAUCUGUGGAUCUGGGAAUAGCACUCAAGAACUAUCAGGGCCCCAGUUCAAUCCCUGAGUCUGAGAAAGAAGGAGAGAAAGGAAAGAGAAGAUGAGACGAGAAAGGAGAAGGUGAAAAGAGAGAAACAGCGAUAUAUAGAGAAGAACAAUAUUAAUAUGUAUCUCAUCCUGAUGUCGUGUUUCACAGUUGUCAUGAAUAAAAUCCCUGGAAGAUGGCAAGCAGGGGACCAAGCUUAGCUCUCUGUCAGUGACACUGCACAAGUCAUUGUGUCUCCUGAUUGUCCAUGAGCUCCAUAGUAUUGAAAGAAUUCUGACCUGCUCCCUGCUAUAGAUCAGAGAGAAUACCUUGGACAGUCUUAGCAGGCAUAUCUACAGGGGUAUAUGAACACACAUACAGGGGUAUAUGAUUUAACUUGGGUCCAAGAAGUAAAGAAAAGAGGAUUUUUUUUUCUGGAGUUAGAAAUACCAGAGAAGGCUUCCUAUGCCCAAACUUGUCUUUUAAGUCACCAAGAGGGCAGGAUAGGGCAACCAUGUCAGAGGGUAAUAUUCUCUGGCCAAAGGUUCAGAAGUGUGGUGCUGGACAGGGCUUGAGAUUUAGGUAUGGAACAUCAAAUCAGAUGGUGGGAGCUGAGAAUAACUAGGCAGGGAGCCAGCUAAAGAAACUGGUCUGGUCACCAUGGGUACAACAUGGAUGAGAUGGGGCCUGUCAGGCCUUGUGCCACCUAGGCCAGCUGGAGCUGAGCAGGCAUCCCCACUCUGUGCCCAUCACCUCAUCACACUUGGCUUAGACUCUGGUCGCUCAUGGAGCCAUUUCCAAGUUUGCAAGUAAACUAUGGCGCUCAGAAAUUGGACACCUUCCCAUGGCACAUUAUUUUUUUUCCUACCACAAUCAUUUAUUCAUUCAACAUUUAUCGACCGCCCAUUAUGUGUCAAGAUAGGCCUUGGGGACAUGGAGGAAACCACAGCCCUCUACUGAGCCCUACAGUUCUUGUAAUAUGGACUUUCACAUAUCCAUCCACAACAGGAAGGUCAGGCUGAGGGGAGAGAGAGCUGAGUUAGCAGACACGGGAUGUGACAGUUUUCAUCAGUCUGUGGCACCUUGCCUCCACUAGUCCCCUCCAUUCUUCAAGGACCUACAAGAGCCAGGUCAGAGGCCAUUCCAUGUUUUGCCCACGGUGACCGCCGGCUGUCGCUUGAUUCAGCUAGACGUUAAUCCUCUAGAUCCCACUGGUUCUGUAGUUUUCUCUUCUCCAUUUAAAACAAACUGGAUGUUAAGAAUCAGAAUAGCAAUAGCUUGUUGAGAUUUGUGUGUGAAACUAGUAGGAAACAUCUUAAGUGCAAUUAAAUAAUAAAUGACACCCGGAGUGAUUCACAGAUAGGCGUUUCCUUCUCCUUAGGCACCAGAAGCUGCUGGGGCACCAGGCUCAGAAUCCAGUCCCAGUUCUCCUCAGGCUGGAUCCCGAGCACGGUGGCAGUUAGGCCUGCAUGUGAACUGACAGUGUCAAGCGCUGGGCCACCACCUUCCCACAAAGCUGGAUUGUGGCCCAGCCCUGCAAAUGAAUCCUCAUCCCCAGCCCUCUAUCCCUGAUUAGGGGCUUUUUCUAGCCCUUGCCUUCCGAGGACAGGAAAGACAAAUGGGUUUCUUCUCAUUACUACUAUUCUGGUGGACUUGUUACUGGGGUGUGUGUGUGUGUGUGUGUGUGUGUGUGUGUGUGUGUGUGUGUGUAGAUAAAGCUCUUAGGUAGUGUAGGGUAGUUAUAAAAGCACAUAGGAGAGUCCAUGCCACUUCUGGCUGCAUGGAAGUGCUCUUUAAAUCUUUGACUGAUUGAGCCACCAAAGACUAGAGCACAUGUCCUGACCUCAGGUUCGUAUAUACUGUCCAGCUGUUGCUGGUGGGCAAGGUAGGCAUACAUGAGAUAGGCUUUCUUCUGAGUGCACAUGAGCAGCAGAUGGUGCUGGAUUUUUCCUGAAACUUCUGUCUUUCAUUUAGGAAACCCAGAGACCAAGGAGGAUGCUUUCCUGGGAAGAUAGCAUAUGCACACUGAACAACAGGGCAAGGGGAUAUGCUCCAGGGUCAGAAGAAGAGAAAAGAGAAAAAGUGGCUUGGUGGUGACUGAAAGAUGGGAAGGAAGAGAAAAUGAAAUGUUGCCUGAAGACAAUGGCCGAGACAGCCCGUCCCACCCCGCACAGCCGCCAGUGCCUCUGUCCCUAACCGUGUCUCCUCUGUGAGUCUGCGAAGCCUGAGACAUGGUGUGAUGUACCCUGCUCUGGAGCAGGCAGCUGCUCAGAGACCCACAGGGAGUUCUGUGAUUGGCCUCAGAUGGCCUUGAGGAUAACAGGUGUCUAUUCAUCAAGCACACAAACCUCCCUCAGGGCAGUUCCUGACAAGAUGGCAGAAUCCGUGAUCCCAGGGUCUCUGUUGCUCUCACCAGAUCAGGUCUGCCUCCUGUGGGGCAUACCCUCUCAGAUCCAAGCUCCAGGCACCAUGCUGGCUGAAAACCUGGCCCUGUCUCUCUCCAGUGCAGAUGAGCUUCUCCUUGAUCUCUCGCCUUCCCUGGGCGAGAGCACUUCGGGCCAAGGAGUAGAGGCCCCUCAUUCUGAGCCACUUCCUCAUGCCUCCACUGUUUCUCUAUGGGAGGGUCCAAGGUGGCCUAGUAAAGAAGCCUAGUAAAGAUCACAAGAAGACCGGCCCCACACAACCGGAAGUCAGAGGCUUGGCCCAUCAGCCUGCCUCUUUCCUCCUUGGACCUGGAAAAGGAACACUGGAUAUGAAGCUGUCUGCAUCACUCAGCCCCUACUUUUCAUAAUUUGGGAUUUUUUAUUUUUCUGCUUUGUUACCUAUGAGUCACCCUAGCUCUUGCUCCCUGACUUUCAGAAAACUCAACCAGCCUUUUCUCCUCCAAGCUGCCCUGGGACAGAGAUAGACACCUCUACCUAAAGCCUACAAAGAAAUCACCAACCAACCAAAGCACCAGAAGCUUACCUCACUGCUGACCGGCAACUUAGACUGGGAAGUGGCCUGUCCCGGAGCAAAGACCUGGGCCAGACAGCAUAAGUUUUGGCUAGGUUGUCUGUGAAGGGAAGUGAUGGGACAGGCUGUGUUCCGCUUUUAUGGAAACAGACAGAGGAGUGGUAACUCCUGCCAAGGUCACAGGAUGAACACAGAGCCAAGAACCAGAACCAGAAGAGUGGAGCAGGAAAGGAAAAUGCAGUGACUACCAUCCUGAGGCUGCAGUACAGGAAACAAUCCUGCCACCGGGAAUUUGGCAGGGGACCAGCAGACUGCUCCACAACCCUGCUAGAGGGUCUUUGUCCUUGGCCUGCUGGCCUCCUCCAUUCCUGCCUCCUCUGUUCCACACCUUUCAGGCCUGUUCUGGGUCUGAUGUGUUGUGGAACACUCUGUCCAGGCGCUUGGGAAAUGGAAACACCACUGCAGACAUUUCCACCCCAAAGAACUAGGCAGCACACUGGGAAGGUGCCCAAGGAAGGGACUCCAGCCUCCCAGGAGUUAACAGCACUUUUCCCCAGCUGUCCUCCCCUUGGUGCUCCUUUUCCUCCCUCCUUCUGCUCACAGCAGGCAGGGCCUGGAACCAGGAGCCAUGCUGCUGUGCUGUUGCCAGGGGAGCUGGGAGGCAGAUUGGAGCUAUGCAGGGAAAAGGCUCGGCCUGUCAAAGUGUCUGAGAUGAACCACCGCCAUCCCUGUGCAGCUGGGCUCAGAUGUGUCUCCGGCUCUUGUUCUAUGCCUGAGAACAGUAAAGCCCAGUGAGGUUCAAGGGCACACUGGCUAUUCAUUAGUCAGGGGUUCUUGACGUCCUGUCUCUCCCAGGGAUGGGUUCCCCCCUUCCUCUUUCCCUCCUGUGGCACAUUCCUGGGUGCACACCCCCUCCUGCACAGCCCCCUCCACACAAACCCUGAAUCAACUCCUGUUAGGGAGAGCAGGCGGGACAGAGACAAUGGCUUCGAGAAGCCAUUCAGGCAGGACGCCAGCCACGUUCGCCUGCCCUCCAUUCCCAGUACACCUAUACAUCCCACUCUGCUGUGACUCGGGGAACCCUUGGGCCCCCAGCUUGCACAUGCCUGGACAGGAGCAGGCCACUAGGUGCUGCCCUACAACACAGGGCAGUGCUGUUCUCAGCGGGCCCCUUGGCGCCUCUGUCCUGCUGGCUGGAAAUUUUUGUGCAGUUCGUUAGAGAGUAGAAACUGUAUAAUCUUUUCUGAAAUGUGGUCACGUCAAAAAUGUAAAAGACGCAUAUACUUGAUUGCUAUUUCAUGACUAGGAAUUUACUCCAGAUAUACUGGAAAAGUUUGCUCAGAAGCGUGGGCAAAGGACUGCGGUUGAACUGACAGGUUGUUUCAUACUAUGGAAUACUACACAGCUGUAAAAGGGCGGUAGAUCUCUGCACGAGGGCUAAUAUGGAAGGCUGCUAAUAUACUUAAGUGAAUAGAAUAAAUCACAGAACAGUCAAGUGUGUUCUUCUUUGUAUACAUUUAA